rnacentral:rRNA from 1 species
GGACGAACGCUGGCGGCGUGCCUAAUACAUAGCAAGUCGAACGGUCUUUCUAUGGAAGCUUGCUUCCACUGAGAAGAUAGUGGCGAACGGGUGAGUAACACGUGGGUAACCUGCCCAUAAGAGGGGGAUAACAUCCGGAAACGGGUGCUAAUACCGCAUAGUUUUCUUGAUCGCAUGAUUGAGAAAGGAAAGACGGCCUUUGUGCUGUCGCUUAUGGAUGGACCCGCGGCGUAUUAGUUAGUUGGUGAGGUAACGGCUCACCAAGACGAUGAUACGUAGCCGACCUGAGAGGGUGAUCGGCCACAUUGGGACUGAGACACGGCCCAAACUCCUACGGGAGGCAGCAGUAGGGAAUCUUCCGCAAUGGACGAAAGUCUGACGGAGCAACGCCGCGUGAGUGAAAGAAGGUUUUCGGAUCGUAAAACUCUGUUGUCAGAGAAGAACAAGUUGGAGAGUAACUGCUCCAGCCUUGACGGUAUCUGACCAGAAAGCCACGGCUAACUACGUGCCAGCCGCCGC